GUAUAAAGUGUGAAAAUGUGCAACGACAAAGAAACUGGAGGACCAUGGACAAAAUGUUUAGACCUGGUCAAACUGUACAUAAACAUUACAAGUAGUGUGGGUUUAACCCCAUGUGAAAAAUUGUUUGGGCGACAA